AGAUCUACGCCAGGCAGCAUCAUUGCCCCUGGGGACCUGAAGAGGCCUCCACGCUCACUGCCCCUUGGCUCCCCCCACGAGCCCAGCAUUUCCUAUAAACCUGAGGCAUCGAUGGAUGACGUAGUGGAAUGAUACACCCCACAAAAUGCAGGCGCUCUCCACUCUUCUACGAUUAGUUUUAUUCUUUCCAAGUUUCCCACCAACUGCCCCGCAGUAAAAAGUCAGUGCUUGAGAGACAAACAUUUCAGGAGUACAGGCUGUGACCUGCAGAAACGCGCCAUUCCCCCUCUGUCGAUCCCGACACAGAUGUAAUCUGCUUUCCCUCUAAAAUGGAAACAAACAAACAAAAUAAAUAAAUUAAAAAAUAUAUUUAAAAAAAAAAAAAACAAGAAAGUAAUAGAUGUUGGCACAGCGCUCAGGACCACAGGCCCGUUUCCAGGCCGACUUCCCUUUGUGCAAACGAUGCUUACGAAAGCCACGUGGGCGAUCACGCGCCAGCUGGGGCACCGAGACUGGGGUGCAGGGCGCAGGCGCUCUGCGGGGCGGAGCUAGCGCUGGGGGAGGAGGGGGCUGUGGGAGAAAACGCCCCCAUCCCACCACUCGCGGGAAUUGACACCCCACUCUGCAAUGUAAAAAGGAAAAAAAAAAAAAAAGUCCGAAAGCCUCGCGGCGUGGGUGGAACCCGGGGAGUCCCCAGAGGUCAGUUGCCGAGGCAGCUGUCGGACACGACGAGGCGGUGUGCGAGCCUCCCCGGGUUGGUAACUUCUCCCCAAAGUCUCUGGCGGUGCCCCACCUGAAGUGUCCACGUGACGAACUCCUGCCGCCCCUCUCGCACGAAAUCAUUCCCAGAUCUGGAGCCUGGCCUUCUCCUCUGCCCAUUAAGAAUCACCAGCAUUUUGCAAAUAAAGGCGAUCACCAUGUGAAAAAUUAUCUUUUAAAAUGGAGUUUAAUUUGCAUAUAAGGAACGAGAGAUUUAUGACGAGCAACAUCGUCCAGUACUGCAUCUGCCUAGCAUCCGUCGUAAUUUAGAUUGUUUGUGACUGAUCUUAAAUUCUAAAGCUUGGAGAAGAUGAAGUACUCUGUUGCUGUAUUAUUGUCAGGAGUCUAAGACUUACCAGAGAUUUAUUAGUAAUCUUAUCACAAACAUGUCUCAAGUUUUUGCUUUUAAUAUGUGCCAAGCUCCUCUGAGGAAUUUUCCUCACUGCAAUUAUAUUCCUCAAUGCAUGCCUUCUGAAGCUGAGUUGAUUUCCUUCCCAAAAUAAAGCGACCUAUCAUUACACCACAGCAGCUCUUGUACAUUUUUCCUCUGCUACUUAAUAAUCAAUGUAUUCAUCAUUAAAAUCUGAGCCCUGAAGCAAUGGUUUUUAGCAUAUUCUAAUGACUAGCGACUUGCAAAUUACAAUGACCUUUCAUGUACAUUCUGUAAGCACCUUGUUCUAAUGUGUACUGUAUUUAUAGUUUGCCAAUACAAACUAGCCAAAGAUUGGAUAAUUACUGUAAUCUAUUAGCUCGAUUGCUUUCCCUGCUCAUUUAUAGCAUGUGCCACGCAGGCCAUUUUCAAAAGCUGGCCUAUCUUUCAUGUCCCGCAAGCUCAGAAACUAAGGGAUACUUCAUCUGCACAAUAUACACACUUACUAAUGUCUGAAGAGCGGCCCAUCUCAGCUCAAGGAGGUUUCAAAAAUAAAGAAUCUUCCUUCCUAUUAGUGUCAUAAUGCUAUUUGUGACUGACAAAAAACACCGCUCCAAGAGUGUAAACUUUCGUUGAAGAAUGUCAAGGCCAGUUCCAUUUUCUGCCCAUUACUCUGACCUCCAAAUAGCAUUUAAUAAGAUCUGCUUGUUUCUUCGCUUUGAAAGAAAAAGAUAAAGGCACUUCUCCUAAACAAGAAACAAUUUUUUGCCAUAAGUAAAUGUUUCGAGUGAAGCAUUAAACUUUUUUCUAAGCGCGCUGCUGUGACUGGAGAGCCGAUAAAGCUCAGUGUGGAAGUGUUCGUUGGGGUCGCCUUCUGACCCUCUGUGACGGUCUAUUUCAGGCAGUUAUGGAUAGAUAACAUUACAGACACUGGUAAUUAAAACAACACUAAUUUUG
rnacentral:lncRNA from 1 species